rnacentral:rRNA from 1 species
UACGUAGGGGGCGAGCGUUGUCCGGAUUUAUUGGGCGUAAAGGGCUCGUAGGCGGCCAACUAAGUCGGACGUGAAAUCCCUCAGCUUAACUGGGGAACUGCGUCCGAUACUGGAUGGCUUGGAUUUGGGAGAGGGAUGCGGAAUUCCAGGUGUAGCGGUGAAAUGCGUAGAUAUCUGGAGGAACACCGGUGGCGAAGGCGGCAUCCUGGACCAAUAUUGACGCUGAGGAGCGAAAGCUAGGGGAGCAAACGGG